CUGUGAGGACAGGCCGCCCCGCGGCGGCGAGGAGCUCCAGAUGGGCUGCGUCCCCGGACGCCCGGGCACAGCUCUCGCCUCGGCCCUCCAGGCCCUGCAGCUCAGAGCACGGAGGGGACAGACAGCGUCGUUUCCAGGUGGGAAGAGCAUGAGCUUGGAGCCCUCCGGCUGCAUUUGUCAGAUCUGAAAAGCAUGAGUGCCCGUCAGUGCGGGACUUCAAUAACAUCCUGAUGGACCCACGAAAUGCACAUUCACAGCCAUUAACAGCAGACACACCUCGAAGGUAAUCAUGAAGACUUUGAAGACUGGUAAAUGAAAAAGACACUCAGUGAUGCUGUGGGAGGGGGAGUGGAUAACUGUGAUACAGGACCAUCUGGAGGCGGCUUGGCUGGACUCCAUGAGGAUGGGCCAAGGGAUGGCGGGAGAGGGCCAGGCCUCCCGGCUGAGACCUGCAUGGUGACAGGACCCUCCCCCAAAGGCAAGAGACCUUUGAGGCAGUUGGGAGCCCUCGUGGUCUCUGACCUGCUCUGACCCUCGCCCGACCCGACCGCAGUCCAUCUGUAGAGACCAGGCGCCGCUCCAGCAGUUGAGAGGCCGGAAAGGUGUUUGGAGGCCCCCGGGGUCCCUGACCGUCUCUGACCCUCACCUGCCCAGCUCCAUCUCUCCUGCCCCUUCCCUGGGUGCAUUUCCAUCGAGGAGGCACAUCUCCCAGCAGCAAGAGGUCAGAUGGCGUCGCACAUGGAGAAGCCGGAGACCCUGCUGGCCCUGGAACGAGCAGAAAUAACAGCCAAACACAAGUAGGUGAGACCCCGGCAGACGGUGAACACGAAGAGCAGGUGCAGCCCAGGCAGGUAUCAGAGCCAAGGACAGGCAGGUGAGGCCCGGCGGGGAUCAGAGCAGGUAGAUCAGGUGAGGCCCAAGUGGGUAUCGUCACCAGUCGGAGCAGGUACAGCCCCGGUAAGGAUCGUAGUCACCAGCAGCAGGUGAGGCCCAGGUGGGGAAGCACAGCCAGCAGAAGCAGAUAUGUCCCUGGUGGGAUCAGAGCCAAGGAGGGGCGGGUGAGGCCCAGGUGGGGCCCAUUGCCAGGUAUGCGCAGGUGCGGCCCAGUGGGAGCCACAGCAGCAGGAACAGUUAUGUUCCAGGCGGGGAUCCCGGCCAAGGCUGAGAAGGCGGAACCCAGAUGGGUAUCCUCACCCGGAGGGGCGGGUAUGGCCUGGGUGGCGGUCACAGCCAGUGGGACCAGGUGGCCCAGGCAGGAUCCUAGCCAGGUACGAGCAGCUCCCACUCGGGCAGGUGGGUCUCGUGCUGUGCUCCUGGGACGCAGGGCAGGGGAGGUGUCCUGCCCCUCCUUUGGCCACACCUCUGGCCUCUGUGGGUUUCAGGGCCAGGCAGGGGCUCCAGUGGAACCCGGGGAAGAUGCUGACCGCUCGCUGUACAAAGUUGCCGACAGGCUACGUUUUCUGCCAUGAGGCAUCAGGAUGCCCCUCCUUCCCAUCUCGGGGCAGGUUUCCUUUUGCAGAAAGACCUCUCUGGAGGCGGGACCCAUCGCCCCAGCUCAGGGCCUCGACCCCUGGUGGCCACGGCAGGUCAGGGUCUGCACUGGGCUGGAGCUGAGAGGACUCGGGGAGGCGGCGGGGGCAGGGCUGGGCGCUGGUCCAGGCCUGGGCCUCAGCCGCGUGGCCUCCAUGCCUGGCCCUGGCCUCUGCCUCCGAGGUCAGAGGGAGGCUCAGCCUGGUUAGCAGACUCUGCAGAGCGUGGCCACAGGGUGAGGCGCGCCUGGCCCACAGGUCUCCGAGGCUCUGGCCCGGAGGACAGUGAGAGGUGUGGCCUCAGGCGCUGGAGGGACGGGCAGGGGGAGCAGGCAGGACCGGCCUCAGAAGCUCACGGGAAGGAGACAGACGCAGGCGGAGUUUGCAGCUGAAGACGACCUGACCCCUCGGUCUGGGGCUGGGAGGAGACUCGGGGUAGAAGGCCGGGCCGGGCCACGGUGGGGGAGAGAGGAGAAGACGUGCAUGUACCUGGACGGAGCUGGUCUGCAGCAGGGCUAAGGGUGCUGGGCUCCUGGACGGAGGCGUCCACUCUGGAGCAGGGUGAGGCCCUGGGGAGCGACUCACCUGGACGGUGGCGUCCACUCUGGAGCAGGGUGAGGCCCUGGGGAGUGACUCACCUGGACGGAGGCAUCCACUCUGGAGCAGGUCAGGGGAGCUGCGUAGCCUCAGCACCCAGGGCCUCAGCAUCAGCGGCUGCAGCACCCACUCAGCGAGGCUGGCUUCUCUCCCGGAGAUGCGCCGGCGGGUCUACAAAGGAAUCCCCCCACAGGUGCAAGGUCAGGUAUGGUCUCUGCUGUUGGACAUGGAGAAGGUGAAGGUGGAGAACAAAGGGAAAUACCAGGGCUACCCUGGUGGUGCAGUGGUUAAGAAUCCGCCUGCCAAUGCAGGGGACAUGGGUUCAAGCCCUGGUCCAGGAAGAUCCCACAUGCUGUGGAGCAACUAAGCGCGUGCGCCACAGCCACUGAACCUGCACUCUAGAGCCGCGAGCCACAACUACUGAGCCUGCAUGCCACAACUACUAAAGCCCGUGCGCCUACAGCCCGUGCUCCACAAGAGAAGCCACUGCAACAAGGACCCGCGCACCACAACGAAGAGUAGACCCCGCUCGCCACAGCUAGAGAAAGCCUGCACGCAGCAACGAAGACCCAAUGCAGCCAAAAAUAAAUAAGUUUUUUUUUUUUUUAAAGGGACGACCAGGUAUGGCCCCUCCACCUGUGCGGGGGCCGCACCAACAGGCCAGGACAUCAGGAGCUUGGGGGGCUGGGCCUCAGGGACCCCUUGCCCAUCCCCAGCACUUUCCUGGCACCUCCCAGGCUUGCAGGCCCCGAGGCCCACCUGCCUGGAAGGCCCUAACCCACCCCCCUGCUGCCCAUCCCACUUGGCCUAGUGCAGACACUGUGUCCAGAUACGGACACAUGCCACCUGGAAUCAAACUAAGCCCUCCUAGACAGUUGGGGGGACAGAGUCACACAGCAAGGGAUAGAAACCAGGGGGAAAAGAGCAAGGAGACACCCACAGAAGCCAUGAAAGGAGAAAGCAAAGCCAAACCAGAUGAACGACAGGCCUGCAUUCAGCUGAACAGAAGGACUGAAUCCGGACAAGAAGCAGGUCUUUUCCCAUCGCCCCAGAGAGGUCCCUACACCUGGCCUGUUCCCACCGCCCAGCACCCCCUCUCCACCGAGGGUACCCCCAGGUCACAUUGCCCGGGGAGGGCGCUCUGUGUACCCAGACCAAGUAAGACCAGUAGGGGAAAUGUGACAGUGGUCAUGCUUCCACAAGCAACCCAAGGACGGGUAACCUACGAGGCUAAGAAUGUGGCGGACACCCACUAACUGUGGGACCACAGCCAGCGUCACGCUCAGUCCGGAAGCUCUCAAAGGGCCCCCGGAAACAGGGCAGAUACAUACAGAGAUCAAGAAUGUCCCUCCGUAUGAACAUAAAGAGUUCUGAAACGGGAAACAUGCAUGUCUGUUAGGCCUAAGGGGAGCCCCAAGGAUAUGUUUUUCGCCUUCUUAACCAGGGGUCUGAGAAGGGGGGGUGUCAGGGCCGCGGGGCUCUGCAUUCCUCAUGGGCUGUUUUAGCGUCUGGCUGUUGGGAGCCCGAGCCCCCAGCAGCCCUCCCGUCGCCGUCCCCGGGGACCCUGAGUCGGGCUGGUGCCAGAUUGUCUCUUGGGAAACAAGGCAGUGAGCCGCCCUUACUGUCCUCGCCCUGCCCCGCCUCGCCCCGCCGCACCCCUCGUGUCCCCGCCUGUUGGCGGUGGGACUCCGGCGGGGGUCAAGGAACAGAGGCCCAACCGCCCUCUCCGCCUCCCCACGCACCUGGGAGCCGCCUCCCUGGGGCGCUGUCAUCCUGGGAGGCCGCAUGCAGCGGGCGGAGGAGGGGUCCAGCUGGCCUGGACGGUGCCUCCCUAAAGGGCGGGGGUCUGGACCUUGGACGUGGGCGUCACUCGUGACCCGCCCUGGCUUCAGGAAUGCGCACAGUGAGGCUUCUGCAGAAACAGCUCAGCUCCCGCCGGCCUCCUCGCAGCGCGCGCUCUGUCCGGCGGUGGUGGUCGUGGGUCCGGGCUCCGCCUGACGCCUGCCCCGCCCCU